rnacentral:tRNA from 1 species
GGAGCGGUGGGUGAGUGGCUGAAACCAACGGUUUGCUAAACCGUCAUGCUGGGAAACCGGCAUCGAGGGUUCGAAUCCCUCCCGCUCCGCCA